UAAGACGAACCACACGAACGUUAUUCGGAAUUACUGGGCUUAAAGGGUGCGUAGGCUGCGCGGAAAGUUGGGUGUGAAAUACCUCGGCUCAACCGAGGAACUGCGCUCAAAACUACCGUGCUUGAGGGAGACAGAGGUGAGCGGAACUUAGGGUGGAGCGGUGAAAUGCGUUGAUAUCCUAAGGAACACCCGUGGCGAAAGCGGCUCACUGGGUCUCUUCUGACGCUGAGGCACGAAAGCUAGGGUAGCGAACGGGAUUAGAUACCCCGGUAGUCCUAGCUGUAAACGAUGAGCACUGGAUUGAAGGGCCCUCCAUAGCCUUUCAGUCGCAGAGAAAUUGUUAAGUGCUCCGCCUGGGGAGUAUGGUCGCAAGGCUG
rnacentral:rRNA from 1 species